GAUGAACGUUGGCGGCGUGCCUAACACAUGCAAGUCGCACGCUUGUAGCAAUACAAGAGUGGCGCACGGGUGAGUAACACGUAGCUUACCUGCCUCAAAGAGGGGGAUAACCCCGCGAAAGCGGGACUAAUACCGCAUAAGCUCACAGACUAUAGAGGUCGGUGAGAAAAGGAGCAAUCCACUUUGAGAGGGGGCUGCGGCCCAUCAGCUCGUUGGUGCGGAAGAGCGCACCAAGGCCACGACGGGUAGGGGACCUGAGAGGGUGACCCCCCACACUGGGACUGAGACACGGCCCAGACUCCUACGGGAGGCAGCAGUGAGGGAUAUUGCACAAUGGGCGCAAGCCUGAUGCAGCGACGCCGCGUGGGUGAAGAAGGUUUUCGGAUCGUAAAACCCUUUUCUGUGUGACGAGAACGGACGGUAGCACAGGAAUAAGUCUCGGCUAACUACGUGCCAGCAGCCG
rnacentral:rRNA from 1 species